AACGAACGCUGGCGGCAUGCCUAACACAUGCAAGUCGAACGAAGGCUUCGGCCUUAGUGGCGCACGGGUGCGUAACGCGUGGGAAUCUGCCCUUAGGUUCGGAAUAACAGUUAGAAAUGACUGCUAAUACCGGAUGAUGACGUAAGUCCAAAGAUUUAUCGCCUGAGGAUGAGCCCGCGUAGGAUUAGCCAGUUGGUGUGGUAAAGGCGCACCAAGGCGACGAUCCUUAGCUGGUCUGAGAGGAUGAUCAGCCACACUGGGACUGAGACACGGCCCAGACUCCUACGGGAGGCAGCAGUGGGGAAUAUUGGACAAUGGGCGCAAGCCUGAUCCAGCAAUGCCGCGUGAGUGAUGAAGGCCUUAGGGUUGUAAAGCUCUUUUACCCGUGAUGAUAAUGACAGUAGCGGGAGAAUAAGCCCCGGCUAACUCCGUG
rnacentral:rRNA from 1 species